rnacentral:tRNA from 1 species
CGGGUAUAGUUUAGUGGUAGAACACAAGCUUCCCAAGCUUGAUAUGAGGGUUCGAUUCCCUUUACCC